rnacentral:rRNA from 1 species
CCUACGGGGGGCUGCAGUGGAGAAUAUUGGACAAUGGGGGGAACCCUGAUCCAGCCAUGCCGCGUGUGUGAAGAAGGCCCUCGGGUUGUAAAGCACUUUCAGUGAGGAAGAACGCCUGGUGGUUAAUACCCAGUAGGAAAGACAUCACUCACAGAAGAAGCACCGGCUAACUCCGUGCCAGCAGCCGCGGUAAUACGGAGGGUGCGAGCGUUAAUCGGAAUUACUGGGCGUAAAGCGCGCGUAGGUGGCUUGAUAAGCCGGUUGUGAAAGCCCCGGGCUCAACCUGGGAACGGCAUCCGGAACUGUCAAGCUAGAGUGCAGGAGAGGAAGGUAGAAUUCCCGGUGUAGCGGUGAAAUGCGUAGAGAUCGGGAGGAAUACCAGUGGCGAAGGCGGCCUUCUGGACUGACACUGACACUGAGGUGCGAAAGCGUGGGUAGCAAACAGGAUUAGAUACCCUGGUAGUC